rnacentral:rRNA from 1 species
UACGUAGGGUGCGAGCGUUUUGUCCGGAAUUAUUGGGCGUAAAGAGCUUGUAGGCGGUUUGUCGCGUCUGCUGUGAAAAUCCGGGGCUCAACCCCGGACUUGCAGUGGGUACGGGCAGACUGGAGUGUGGUAGGGGAGACGUGGAAUUCCUGGUGUAGCGGUGGAAUGCGCAGAUAUCAGGAGGAACACCGAUGGCGAAGGCAGGUCUCUGGGCCACUACUGACGCUGAGAAGCGAAAGCAUGGGGGAGCGAACAGG